GACGAACGCUGGCGGCAUGCCUAAUACAUGCAAGUCGAGCGGAAUGACGAGAGCUUGCUCUCUGAUUUUAGCGGCGGACGGGUGAGUAACGCGUGGAUAACCUGCCCAUAGGUUGGGGACAACUCCGGGAAACCGGAGCUAAUACCGAAUAAAAUUUAUUGAACACAUGUUUAGUAAAUCAAAGGAGGCCUCUCGAAGAAGCUUCUGCCAAUGGAUGGAUCCGCGUCUGAUUAGCUAGUUGGUAAGGUAACGGCUUACCAAGGCGACGAUCAGUAGCCGGCCUGAGAGGGUGAACGGCCACACUGGGACUGAGACACGGCCCAG
rnacentral:rRNA from 1 species